CCGGCGAUGUCCGAAUGGGGAAACCCAGUGCAAUUCGUUGCACUAUCGUUAACUGAAUACAUAGGUUAACGAGGCGAACCGGGGGAACUGAAACAUCUAAGUACCCCGAGGAAAAGAAAUCAACCGAGAUUCCCCCAGUAGCGGCGAGCGAACGGGGAGCAGCCCAGAGUCUGAAUCAGCUUGUGUGUUAGUGGAACGGUCUGGAAAGUCCGACGGUACAGGGUGAUAGUCCCGUACACCAAAAUGCACAGGUUGUGAACUCGAAGAGUAGGGCGGGACACGUGGUAUCCUGUCUGAAUAUGGGGGGACCAUCCUCCAAGGCUAAAUACUCCUGACUGACCGAUAGUGAACCAGUACCGUGAGGGAAAGGCGAAAAGAACCCCGGCGAGGGGAGUGAAAAAGAACCUGAAACCGUGUACGUACAAGCAGUGGGAGCACCUUCGGGUGUGACUGCGUACCUUUUGUAUAAUGGGUCAGCGACUUAUAUUCUGUAGCAAGGUUA
rnacentral:rRNA from 1 species